rnacentral:rRNA from 1 species
UACGGGGGGGGCAAGCGUUGUUCGGAAUUACUGGGCGUAAAGGGCGCGUAGGCGGCCUGCUAAGUCGGAUGUGAAAUCCCUCGGCUCAACCGAGGAACUGCAUCCGAUACUGGCGGGCUUGAAUCCGGGAGAGGGAUGUGGAAUUCCAGGUGUAGCGGUGAAAUGCGUAGAUAUCUGGAGGAACACUGGUGGCGAAGGCGGCAUCCUGGACCGGUAUUGACGCUGAGGCGCGAAAGCUAGGGGAGCAAACGGG